rnacentral:rRNA from 1 species
CCUACGGGCGGCAGCAGUGAGGAAUAUUGGUCAAUGGCCGUAAGGCUGAACCAGCCAAGUCGCGUGAGUGAAGAAGUAUUUCGGUAUGUAAAGCUCUAUCAGCAGGGAAGAAGAUGACGGUACCUGAUUAAGAAGCCCCGGCUAACUACGUGCCAGCAGCCGCGGUAAUACGUAGGGGGCAAGCGUUAUCCGGAUUUACUGGGUGUAAAGGGAGCGCAGACGGCAGUGCAAGUCUGGAGUGAAAGCCCGGGGCCCAACCCCGGAACUGCUCUGGAAACUGUGCGGCUAGAGUACUGGAGGGGCAGGCGGAAUUCCUAGUGUAGCGGUGAAAUGCGUAGAUAUUAGGAGGAACACCAGUGGCGAAGGCGGCCUGCUGGACAGUAACUGACGUUGAGGCUCGAAAGCGUGGGGAGCAAACAGGAUUAGAUACCCCUGUAGUC